rnacentral:rRNA from 1 species
AGGGCGUAUGGCGGAUGCCUAGGCUCACGGAGGCGAUGAAGGACGUGAUAAGCUGCGAUAAGCUUCGGGUAGGUGCAAAUAACCUUUGAUCCGGAGAUUUCCGAAUGGGACAACCUAGCCGUCUGAAGGACGGUUACUAGCACUUAAGUGUUAGAGCUAACGCAGGGAACUGAAACAUCUUAGUACCUGCAGGAAGAGAAAAUAAAUGAAUGAUUCCCCCAGUAGUGGCGAGCGAACGGGGAACAGCCCAAACCAGUGGCGUCGCAAGGCGUGGCUGGGGUUGUAGGACCGCGACAUUGUAUGCAAAUCGUGAACAGAACACUUUGGAAAAUGUGACCAUAGACGGUGAUAGUCCAGUAUGUGAAGCGAAAUGCAGCAUAGCGGUAUCCUGAGUAACGCGGGACACGAGGAAUCCUGCGCGAAUCUGCCGGGACCAUCCGGUAAGGCUAAAUACUCCCGUGAGACCGAUAGCGAACGAGUACUGUGAAGGAAAGGUGAAAAGAACCCCGAGCAGGGGAGUGAAAUAGUUCCUGAAACCAUGCGCCUACAAGCGGUCGGAGCAUCUUAAGAUGUGACGGCGUGCCUUUUGCAUAAUGAUCCUACGAGUUACCGUCACUGGCGAGGUUGAGUGUCACGAGACACGUAGCCGCAGUGAAAGCGAGCCUGAACAGGGCGCACAGUCAGUGGGGGUAGACGCGAAACCAAGUGAUCUACACUUGGCCAGGAUGAAGUCCCGGUAACACGGGAUGGAGGUCCGCACCAAUAAGCGUUGAAAAGCUUCUGGAUGAGCCGAGUGUAGGAGUGAAAGGCCAAUCAAACUUGGAGAUAGCUCGUACUCCCCGAAAGGCAUUUAGGUGCCGCGUCGGAUGGUCACCGUGAGAGGUAGAGCGACCGAUAGGACAAGAGGGCUUCACCGCCUAUCGAGUCCUGACGAACUCCGAAUGCUCACGGUUUGCAGUCCGGCAGUAAGGGGGCGGGUGCUAAGGUCCGUCCCCGAGAGGAGAAGAAUCCAGACCGCCGUCUAAGGUCCCGGAGUUCUGCCUGAGUUAGUCUAACGAAGUCUGGUCCCUAUGACAGCUAGGAUGUUGGCUUGGAAGCAGCCAUUCAUUCAAAGAGUGCGUAACAGCUCACUAGUCGAGGGUCCGGGCAUGGAUAAUAAUCGGGUAUAAGGCAGACACCGAAGGCGCGGGAUAGCAAUUUUAAAAGUAUCGGUAGGGGAGCAUACUCACAGCGUCGAAUGGUGUACGUAAGUUAUCCUGGAGCGGUGAGUAAAGCAAAUGUAGGAAUAAGUAACGAUAAGGAGGGUUAGAUUCCCUCCCGCUGUAAGACCAAGGUUUCCCGGGCAAUGCCAAUCAGCCCGGGGUCAGUCGGGUCCUAAGUCUAAGCCGAACGGCGAUGGCGAUGGCAGAGACGGUUAAUAUUCCGUCACUGCCGCAUGGGGCGACGUGGAGACGGAGCAGUGAAACCACCGCGGGGCGACGGAAGUCCCCGUUGAAGAGUGUAGGCGUUGAGGAUGGCAGGCAAAUCCACCAUCCGAGCUGAACUUGACAGUACGGAGUCCUCCUCGGAGGAAUCUGAUAGUGUGGGUAAUCAUACUCCCGAGAAAAUCCGCUAAGCUUAACCCAUGCGGCACCCGUACCGCAAACGGACACACGUGGUCGGGUAGAACAUACUAAGGCGUUGAGAGAUUCAUGGUUAAGGAACUAGGCAAAUUGACCCUGUAACUUCGGGAUAAAGGGUCCUCGUGAUGAGCGAGGCGCAGAGAAUAGGUCCAGGCAACUGUUUAACAAAAACACAGGGCUGUGCAAACUCGAAAGAUGACGUAUACAGCCUGACACCUGCCCGGUGCCGGAAGGUUAAGAGGAGAUGUCACCAGCAAUGGGAAGCAUUGAAUUGAAGCCCCGGUAAACGGCGGCCGUAACUAUAACGGUCCUAAGGUAGCGAAAUUCCUUGUCGGGUAAGUUCCGACCUGCACGAAUGGUGUAAUGAUCUGGACGCUGUCUCAACCGUGAGCUCAGUGAAAUUGUAGUAUCGGUGAAGAUGCCGAUUACCCGCGAUGGGACGAAAAGACCCCGUGAACCUUUACUACAGCUUAGCAUUGACCUUGGUCAUCCGAUGUGUAGGAUAGGCCGGAGGCUUUGAAGCGGGAGCGCCAGCUUUCGUGGAGCCAUCCUUGAAAUACGGCCCUUUGGCUGUCUGAGGUCUAACGCGUGAUUACGCGGACACUGCUUGGUGGGUAGUUUGACUGGGGUGGUCGCCUCCAAAAGCGUAACGGAGGCUUCCAAAGGUGCCCUCGGGUCGAUUGGUAACCGACCUCAAAGAGUGCAAUGGCAUAAGGGCGCUUGACUGGGAGGCAGACAUGCCGAGCAGGCAGGAAACUGGGGCAUAGUGAUCCGGCGGAUGUGUAUGGAAACUCCGUCGCUCAAAGGAUAAAAGGUACUCCGGGGAUAACAGGCUGAUCCCCCCCAAGAGCUCAUAUCGACGGAGUGGUUUGGCACCUCGAUGUCGGCUCGUCACAUCCUGGGGCUGGAGAAGGUCCCAAGGGUUGGGCUGUUCGCCCAUUAAAGUGGCACGCGAGCUGGGUUCAGAACGUCGUGAGACAGUUCGGUCUCUAUCUAUCGUGGGCGUGGGAGUUUUGAGUGGUGCCGUCACUAGUACGAGAGGACCGUGAUGGACAGACCUCCGGUUUACCAGUUGUGCCGCCAGGCGCACCGCUGGGUAUCUGAGUCUGGAUUGGAUAAGCGCUGAAAGCAUCUAAGUGCGAAGCCAGCCGCAAGAUGAGAACUCCAUUGAGGGUCGUCAAAGACGAUGACGUUGAUAGGAUGCAGGUGUAAAGACAGCGAUGUCAAAGCCGAGCAUUACUAAUUGCCCGAACACUUUCUUU